rnacentral:rRNA from 1 species
CCUACGGGAGGCACCAGUGGGGAAUAUUGCGCAAUGGGCGCAAGCCUGAUGCAGCCAUGCCGCGUGUAUGAAGAAGGCCUUCGGGUUGUAAAGUACUUUCAGCGGGGAGGAAGGUGUUGAGGUUAAUAACCUCAGCAAUUGACGUUACCCGCAGAAUGAAGCACCGGCUAACUCCGUGCCAGCAGCCGCGGUAAUACGGAAGGUGCAAGCGUUAAUCGGAAUUACUGGGCGUAAAGCGCACGCAGGCGGUCUGUCAAGUCGGAUGUGAAACCCCCGGGCUCAACCUGGGAACUGCAUUCGAAACUGACAGGCUAGAGUCUUGUAGAGGGGGGUAGAAUUCCAGGUGUAGCGGUGAAAUGCGUAGAGAUCUGGAGGAAUACCAGUGGCGAAGGCGGCCCCCUGGACAAAGACUGACGCUCAGGUGCGAAAGCGUGGGGAGCAAACAGGAUUAGAUACCCGGGUAGUC